rnacentral:tRNA from 1 species
GCCUUAGUGGUGUAGUGGUGAGCACGCUUGGCGCAUAUUCGAGAUUUCCGUGGUUCGAAUCCAAGCGAGGGCA